AGAGUUAAAUAGUACGUAAAAUUGUUGAAAGGGAAACGAUUAAAGUCAGUCAUGCUUUCAGGGAAUCAAUAUGGUGGCAUGUUUUCUUCCUUGUACACAUCCUUGCUUAGCAGGUUAGCAUCAAUUUCAAUUGUUAUUAAAGAACCGGGGGAAUGUGGCUUCUUCAGGAGUGUUAUAGACCUUGGUAGAUGAGGUGAUCAGGAUUGAGAAUUACAGCGAAUGCUUUUUUGGCUAGUCACCUGGUUUCUGAUAGUCACCUUGCUUUCGAUAGCUUGCUACGUUAGUGAGAUUUGAUUGUCUAGAUGUUAGAGUAAUCAUAAAUUCGCUAAGGAUGCUGACGUAAUGACUUUAAACGA
rnacentral:misc_RNA from 1 species